rnacentral:lncRNA from 1 species
AAUGGUAGGAGUGGCAGAUUGUGCAGAGGAAGAGGAUGAGAAGAAACUUGUGCUUCUCAUCCAAUAUUUGUAGAACUCUCUUGAUGUGCGAUUGUGCAUUUUUUAGGUCCUCUUUCUGUGCACUUGCACUUGUAGAAGUAUUCUUUUGUGCACUUGUAAAAUUAUUUUGAUGUGCACUUGUUAGGCCUUGAACCUUGAUGUGUAGAGGAGUCGUGGAUGAUGUAUUGUAUGUCAUGUGAUGUGCU